UCUUGCUUUGCCAGCAGCAGUCAGUCAGUCAGUCAGUCAGUCACAUACACGGACUCAAGUCAUCUCUGGACCGCAGAGAUUCUCCUUCAGUCGCUUCGUGUAUUUACAUUCGCCGCUAUGAAAAACGACUAGACAGAAUGGGCACGGAGCGCUCUUCUCGAAUCACAGCCGUUUGGAGAUAAGAGGGCGGAAACGCGAGUAAAACAGACGGAGGAGAAAGAAAAACAGACGAGGAGCGCGAGCAGGCCGAACCCGUCGAGGGAGCGCGAGAGCAGCCUAGUUUCUCACGCGACGGGCGCGCGGCGCUCAAUUGGAUUUGCGGCUCAAACCGACGAGGACGAAAACACGCCCGUGGCGAACCGUACAUGUGGAUUAUUCGCGGAAAUUUCUUAACUCCGUUCUCCUCAGAAACUAAAUAAACGUCCGGUGGCGACAGACCUUCACCUUCCGCGGAGAGGUUGGUGACUGCCAGGACUCAACGCCCCAUGAUGCACAGCGUUUGUGACAAGACCACACCCACUUUCAGUGUGUAGAGGAAGUUGCAUCGUCAGCAUGUCCUCGCACCCUCAGUCAGUGCCUCAGGGUCGGAGGGCUAUGGACGCUCGUCACCUUCCUAGUCCUGCCACCCUACCUCUGCAGCUGAGAGCCCAUACGGAUGUUGGUGGAUUGGUUGACUACCAUCCUCAUGCUC